rfam:Triticum aestivum genome assembly, contig: Triticum_aestivum_CS42_TGACv1_scaffold_404380_5BL
CAUAUACUCCCUCUGUUCGGAAUUACUUGUCGUACAAAUGGUUGUGUCUAGACGUAUUUUAGUUCUAGAUACAUCCAUUUCCGAGACAAGUAAUUCCGAACGGAGGGAGUAUUAU